AUUGAACGCUGGCGGCAGGCCUAACACAUGCAAGUCGAACGCGUGGCGGACGCGUGAGUAAUGUCUGUGAAACUGCCCGCUGGAGGGGGAUAACUCCUGGAAACUGUAGCUACUACCGCAUACCAUCGUAUGUGUCCACAUGGGAUUAGCUAGUAGGGGGGGUAACGGCUCACCUAGGCGACGCUCCCUAGCUGGUCUGAGAGGAUGACCAGCCACAGUGGAACUGAGACACGGUACAGACUCAUACGGGAGGCAGCAGUGGGGAAGAUGGCACAAUGGGCGCAAGCCUGAUGCAGCCAUGCCGCGUGUAUGAAGAAGGCCUUCGGGUUGUAAAGUACGUUCAGCGGGGAGGCGUUACUCGCAGAAGAAGCACCGGCUAACGACGUGCCAGCAGCCGCGGUAAUAC
rnacentral:rRNA from 1 species